GGAGGUGAGGGUGAUCUGGCUGCGACGUCUGUCACCCCAUUGAUCGCCAGGGUUGAUGAGGCUGAUCUGGCUGGCUAGGAGGGUGUCCCCUUUCUCCCUCACCGCUCCAUGUAUGUCCCUCCCGAAGCUGAGUGCUUGGACGAAGAAGACAGCUUUCCCCGAAUAGAGACGCCCCGAAUAGAGACGGACUGGUCUUCAGUUGAGGGUAUACAAGUAGCUGAGCUCCCCUGCUAGAACCUCCAAACAGUCAAAACCAGCCAACAACCCAUAUAAACAUUCAUCAACAAGUUGGAAGUUCAAUGCAUUGU
ensembl:misc_RNA 7SK 7SK RNA